ensembl:lncRNA
GUGCACUGUUAUCUCGACCAUUAACUGCUACGGGGCACUCUGAGAUCUCUGACUCAUGUGUAUAAUACAUUCCUGCCACUUUCAUCUCCAUCCAGUCUACUCUUAUGGGAAAAGGCGUUGUUUAUCUUUUAAAAUGUUGUCUAAACUACACCUUUAAUCUGCAAAACUUGUAUCUGCACUCUUAGAAAUGAUAAAAAAAUGGUUUCUAAAGGACGAAAUGAAAUGAAUGCAUGUUUAAACUUACAGCUCGUUUGUGUUUUUCAAAAAUGCUGGAACAACAACAUGGACAACCAAACGUCAUUUGGGAAGCAGAUCUGAAUGAAGCCUGGAAGCAGAUCGCAUUUGGAUUGGGUUUUGUUCGGGCUGAGCUUUUUGGACUCUCAUUCUGAUGGCACCCAUUCACUGCAGAGGAUCCAUUUGUGAGCAAGUGAUGUAAUGCAUCUGUUCAAAUGAAGAAACGAACUCAUCUACAUCUUGGAUCGCCUGAGGGUGAGUACAUUUUCAGAAAAUUUUAAUUAUGGGUUGAACUACUCCUUUAAAGACAAAGAGCAUUUAAACAUUUUGUCAGUAGUUAAUGUAAUGAACUCCACCUAUGGUUAUGUUGCUAGGGCAUUUGUUUGAGGAGACCUGACUUCAUACAUUCUCUACAAAGCUAAAAAGAGGGAAGAUUGCAAAAUCCUCUAAGAAAAACAAUGCAUUUUCUGAGAAAAGCUCUAGACUCAAGCUUGCAGAUGACAUUUGUUUUGAUACUUUGUAAAAUGCAGUGAUAUUCAUGCAUUACUUUUUUGGAAUAUCAUAUGUUUUGGUGCUGUAAACAACCAAGAAACAUUACGCUGAUUUAAAGAACUUAUAAUGUAACAUGAAUACCUAUUUUUAAUCAAGGCCUAAGUUUGAAAGGCGUACAAUUACCUGAACGGCAAUACACAUAUAUACACAUAGACAUAUUCAAAGGCUAUCAUACUAAAAAUCAGUAUGUGUGAAGGCAAUAGUAGCACCAUUACUAAAAGCUCUUUUUUUUUUUUUUUUUUCAUGAUGCAGGCUAUUAAGUUCCUUUAUAUCGCUCAGAAGCCUAGAUAAUGACUUUUCUUUAUGAUUUCUUUGCACAGUUAAACUUUAAGAGCUGUUUUCUCCAACAUUUUAAGCCUUUUGCUGCUCUUGUGUAGACAUCCAACUGUGAAGUACUGUAUUUCGCACCGUCUAGUCUCUUUGACCCUUCCAUCAAUCAAAGGCAAUAACUUCCAAGAAUCACUGAAUAACAUGGGCUCCAGUUGCUCAUCGCUCGAUUGUGAAAUUCUGCCUACAGUACCAUUCCGUUCCUGCUGAUUUUGUCCCAUCUGGCACAAUUCAAUUAAGCAUAUGCUUGUGAAGUUUCAAAUUGAAAAGUUUUAAGGUGCUAACUGUUCAGAAGAACAUCACAAUCUUGUUUUCGUCAAAGUGAGAAGGGGGUGCCACGGCAGAGUGGUUUAUAGGUUCUCUGUCUGCUCUUCAUUAAAAGUCUGGUUGAGUCUCAUGUAGUGGCUGUGUUGUAAUGAAAGGCUCACAGCAAGCACUGAGGUGGUAAUCAGAAAGCCCAGACUCAACUGGUAACCAGGGCAACUGGAAAUCAGGACUCUUUUUUUUCUCCCUCUCAGACAUUUUGCUGAAUGUCCAUGGAAUACUAAUAACGUUUAUUCUGUUUCGCUUGCCUCCAGUUGCGCUACACAUCAAAACCCUGUCAAGAAUAACGCGGAAAUUGCGCUCAAGCAAAUACAUCGUACACAUCAUCAGCCAAUCAAAUUGAUUAUUUAAAUGACAGACCUUUCAUCCAAACAAGCGCAUAAACAAAAACACCCCACCACUGCCAAUCAUCAUUUCUGGAUAAGAGGAUUGUCAUUGAAAGAACCUCUGUGCUCGUUUUGGUGAAUAAUCCUGGCUGAGGAAGGGAAAUGGCAGGAUUAAAGGGUAAUCAAGCCCAUGAUGGAUCUGGGACUGUAGAGCUCUCUGCAGUGCUGUUAUAAUAUGAUGUCAUCUAUUAUACCCUGUGCUGAUUCGUCAUUGGACCUGUA